CUCGUUCUGCAGCUUCAGGCUGAUUCAUUAAAGCUGAUUUUACUUUAAUUAUUGUUCACAGGAACAACAGUGAAGUGAAACUAAAAGACAACGACACGACAGCUGCAGCGUUCACCUUCACUAUUUCACCUGAAACAUUAAAACUUUUUUUAACUGUAGAUCAGUUAAAAAGUCACGAUAUCCAGCCAGGAAACAACUGUUGUUCUCCGAACUCCAGACUUCCACUAAUUUUGGAUUGAAUAAUGGAUUGUUUUGUCUCAAGUCUCUGCAGGUUGAGAUGUAGUUAAUGUUCUUAAACAUCUAAAAACCUUUGAGAGUUAAUCUUUAAAUGGAACAUUAUGUGAGGGCUCGGCAGCACCUCAGAGUUCAAACUGAAUCUCUGACUGAUCUUCCACACAGUUAAGGUUUUUCUGUUAUUUUGUCCACCCGGUGUGUGGGUGUGUGUAGAUGGUCUUCCUCAGUGUCAAUGUGUGAUAGUUUGGAUGAAGAGGAACCUGCAGCCUGUUGUUGCUCUGCAGGACGUCUCCUCUGCUCAGAGGGGAAGUUGAGUCACACGAGCAGAGAAAAUUUCUGUUUUCAUUUCUCCUUUUGGGUUUCUUCACUUCUGUCAGUUCUGGUUGCAUAAAGAGAGAAUCUGAAACAACGUCAAUGAAUUUCAGGGCUUGGAGCACAGAGGAAAACACUGCUACAAAAAUGACAGAUUUCUGAAUGAGGUUUUGAAUGGAGUUUAUCUUCCGACCAAUCAGAGCUGACAGUUUGUCCUCGGAGCAGAAGCACAGGACGUGGUUGGAGGGGAGGAGUGAAGUAGACUGGAAAAAACGCUGCAUUAUGAAGGAGGAAACCUUAUAAGGACUCAAACUUCAACCAGUAAACCAUGAGCUGAAGUCUCCCAGGUGUGACUGCUUCAUCCAUGAUCGGAGAGAUGUCGCCCAUUAUUCGCAGAGGCAUGUGCGAAAGUCAGCAGUGAUUGGGGUCCCCGAAUACAAAGCACCACCUGUGUUCAAAGAAACAUUGUCGAUGAUCACAGAGAUGUCAUCCAUGAUCACAGAGAUUCUUCGUACAAUGAAGAAGUUCUUUGAGACCAGGACAGAGACCUCUGGAUAAUUCACCACAGCUUUACAUCAACUGCCCAACACAAAGCACUGACAUUAAACUGUUCAUGUUCAGUAUUAGGUAUAUCAGGAAAGUGUAAUAAUAAUAAUAGAAUAAUAAUAGUAAUCUGCAUUAUAAAAAUAAUGUAAUGAAGUACUGUAUGUAUAAGUAUUUACAACAUCAGAAAUAAGAUGUAAUAGUCAAAAAUGGCAUCAAAAGCCAUGAAAAAAUAUAAAAAAAGAUGUCAUAGUAUAGUUAGAUGUCAAAAAUCAUCAAAAAACGUCAUAGUAUAAUAAGGUGUC